UGUUUGUUAGUUUUAUCCUUGAAAACUUAUUUGCAAUUUAUGGGUCUUUCAUCCUUCAUGCAAUUCAAUCAAGUUUUAAAACAUGAUUUCCAAACAUGCACUAGUAGAAAAAACGAAAUAGACACCCCUCCUUUAGCACCGGUUCUUGAAAACCGGUGCCAAAAGAAAUGGGUGGGAUUAAAAAAUUCAGUGUUUGCACCGGUUCCAACCAAAACUGGUGCCAAUCAUUUAAUUAGCACCGGUUCAAACCGGUGCCAACUUAUAAAAAAAAUAAAAUAAAUAAAUAAAUAUGGCAUAGAGUUGGCACCCGUUCCCCUUAAACCGGUGCCAACUAUGUUAUUAUUAAAAAAAAUAAAACCAGGUCUGAGCUAGCUUCUUCGUUUUCAUUUCAUUUCCUCGAUCUUUCAUCUUCUCAUCUGAUCUGCCUCUCUCUCUCCUCCAUUGAAGCGUAGCCGAAUUUCUCCAUUGAAGGUGCUUCUGAGCUUUCCUAACACUCCUUCUCUCUCCUUCGAUCUCCUUCUAUAACCACCACUUUCCCUUUCCUUUCUUCUCUCUUUCGAUCUCCUUCUCUCUUUCUACAAUAUUGGAGGUUAGGGUUUCUAGGUGCGUCUAUUUUGAAUCAAUUCGAUGUGCGUGCGUCUUUAGCAACAACAAAUUCGAAUCAAUUUCGAAACAAAAAUAAGAAAUUCGAGGUUAGGGUUUCUGGGUUAUUUAGCUUUGCGUUAUAUUGUGGCAGUUCUGAGCUUUCUCCUCCAUUGAAACAACUUUUGAGGCAAAAAGAGCUGGAUAUGUUGAUGAAGGUUAAGGAAGUAAAAGGGUGUGUGGGUAAGGGGAGUGAUAAUGAUGAUGAUGGUAUUCGAAAGAAAGUUUUGGAAAAACUCGACAAUGAAUUAGCCAAAGGCGAUGAAAGAGCCGCCCUUUUCUUGGUCAAACAAUCCCUUAUACAACCUGGUAUCCUCCGCUGCUUUGGCGCUGCUCGCCAGGCAUUGUAGAAUGUACAUACUCUCUUGGUAUUUGAAGGAGGAGCCUCUGCUUUGUACUUCUUAGCAAUUGUUUCAGUCUGGUUUUCAUAUCUAGCUGUUGAUUUUAUGAUAAGACGGGUGCCAAUGACUUUCUUGGCUUUAUUACAUUUAUUUCCAUUGUUUAAUGGUCUGGUUUCCAUUUCUAUGGUCUUCUUGAUCAUAUGAUAUAGCUGAUGUUGGGAGUAUUAUGGUGAUAAUGACUUUUAGUUAUUGCUGUGUCCUCUUAUGUCUCUGCUCUCCUCAACUGCUGUUCUUCAUAGUUGCCAUAUUUAUGUUGAUUGGUUUUUCCCUAAGUUUUUUUUUUUCUAAAUGGAAUCAUCUGUACUGGGUCUGUGUUCCACACCACAUAGUUUCAGAUUCAAUUUUCUAUUGCUCGUUCCGAUGGAAGUUAUUGAUGAGACAUUUUAUUAAUGGCAUGAUGGUGAAAUAUGAGAGCUCUACUCCAUAUAGGGUGUCAUUUAUUCAAAUUGCACUUUAUUUGAUUGUUUUUUUUAUUUGAACUUUCAUUACCAUUUAGUUUGAUGGGGUGGUCAAUUAACACCACCUUGAUUGUGUGAUAGAAAGAUGCUUUGCUUAUAGGAUUUGCUGAUUUUUCCUGAACUUUUGUGGCUGAAUUUUCACAUCAGGUUUUUGUCUUACUUUGUUGUUUAUUGGGUAAUUAUUUGCUGACAAUUUGUUCCUACUCUAGGAGUUGGGCUGCUCUUCUCUUUAUCUAUCACGGUCUAUGUUUCUAUCUUCUUUUUUAAUCUAUAUUGCAUCUGCUUCAAGGAAAGUUCAGGUCCUCGUCAAUUGUUAACAGGAUUCUCCAGCCUUAAGAAUUUGUGGUCUGGUAAUGUUAGUGAGUUUUAGGGGUGCCUUCAUCAUGGAUAUUGCUUAUUGUAUUUUGAGCUCUAAUUUGCGAAUUUGUCCUUGAUUAUACUGUCAAUAUGUUAUUUGUGAUUAUGGGGUGGCAAGUUGUGCUAAGUUCAUCUUUAUCCUGUCUUCUGAAAUUUUACCUUUUCUUGUUUCUGCUGCCCAAGCAUCUUCUGGUGCAAUACAUAGUGUGCUAUACUUUAUUAAGCAUGCAUUUUGCUUCAGCCUUCAGGUUCAUGCUUCAUCUUAUGAUUUUAUAGGAUCAGGGUUUUUUUUUUUUUUUUUUUUGGGUGGUACUUGGCUUAACGCUUGUAGCUGUGAUGAUCUAUGGUAUUGACAUUGCUUUAGCAUCGCGUUGGGAUUUCAUAAAAAUUGAAGGUUAGAGUUCUUCUGAGCUCUAUCGUGAAUGUAUCCUAACAGUGUCAACUAGCUUGCGGCGCGACAUUACGUGUAACAUAGCCCCUUUCUUGUCAUUUAAAAAAUCUAGGGAGUUUCUAAUCCUUUACUUGGAUUUGUUUCUUGCCAAUUUCUUUUGGUGUUACAGUGGCUGGAGUUCUCAAUGGCAUGCAUCAUUCUUUUGGUGCUGCUUGUAGAUUAUGGUUUCUUGAACUCGGGUUAAUGGGUUUUGCCUAUCAUUGUGUCGAUUCUGCUUGGAUUUGCUCUUCUAAGGAGCUUGCAAAUAUCGGGUUUAUGUUGCUCUAGAUUUUGACUAUUUGGUGUAACGCUGUGACUACUGGAAAUUCACAUUCGAUGAUGAUAUUUUUAUGUUCAAUUAAUCUUACGGCCUUGGUGAUAUCAGGGUCAUGUUCUAUUGGAUUGGGUUUAAAUUUGUUGGGAAAUAUUAGGUGAAGGUGGAUCCUCAGGUUGCUGCAAUCAUGCAUUUUGGGAAGAUGUGAUGGAUACAUAUUAAGAAUGCUUGAACAGCCACAGAAGCAGAACAGCCACAACCAUCAGAGCAGAAACACAGCCACAGCCACCAGGGCAGAAACACAGCCACAGCCAGCAGAGCAGCCACCAACACAAGACCAGGACAGCUAGUUAAAUGAAAUGCAAGAAAGGUCGAUAAGAGAUAAGUCUGGAUUAUUUAAUUUUUUGGACGAAAAUUGUAAUAUUACAGCCUUUUUUAAUGAA